rnacentral:rRNA from 1 species
CCUACGGGCGGCUGCAGUGGGGAAUAUUGGACAAUGGGGGCAACCCUGAUCCAGCCAUGCCGCGUGUGUGAAGAAGGCCCUCGGGUUGUAAAGCACUUUCAGUGAGGAAGAACGCCUGGUGGUUAAUACCCAUCAGGAAAGACAUCACUCACAGAAGAAGCACCGGCUAACUCCGUGCCAGCAGCCGCGGUAAUACGGAGGGUGCGAGCGUUAAUCGGAAUUACUGGGCGUAAAGCGCGCGUAGGUGGCUUGAUAAGCCGGUUGUGAAAGCCCCGGGCUCAACCUGGGAACGGCAUCCGGAACUGUCAAGCUAGAGUGCAGGAGAGGAAGGUAGAAUUCCCGGUGUAGCGGUGAAAUGCGUAGAGAUCGGGAGGAAUACCAGUGGCGAAAGCGGCCUUCUGGACUGACACUGACACUGAGGUGCGAAAGCGUGGGUAGCAAACAGGAUUAGAUACCCUUGUAGUC